rnacentral:rRNA from 1 species
UACGGAGGGUGCAAGCGUUGCUCGGAAUUAUUGGGCGUAAAGGGCAGGUAGGUGGUCUUAUUUGUCUUAUGUGAAAGCCUUGGGCUUAACUCAAGAAGUGCGUAAGAAACGGUAAGACUAGAGUCCUAGAGAGGCUAGUGGAAUUCCCGGUGUAGCGGUGAAAUGCGUAGAGAUCGGGAGGAACACCAAUGGCGAAGGCAGCUCGCUGGGACGGUACUGACGCUGAGACGCGAAAGCGUGGGGAGCAAACAGG